GAUGAACGCUGGCGGCGUGCCUAAUACAUGCAAGUCGAGCGAACGGACGAGAAGCUUGCUUCUCUGAUGUUAGCGGCGGACGGGUGAGUAACACGUGGAUAACCUACCUAUAAGACUGGGAUAACUUCGGGAAACCGGAGCUAAUACCGGAUAAUAUUUUGAACCGCAUGGUUCAAAAGUGAAAGACGGUCUUGCUGUCACUUAUAGAUGGAUCCGCGCUGCAUUAGCUAGUUGGUAAGGUAACGGCUUACCAAGGCAACGAUGCAUAGCCGACCUGAGAGGGUGAUCGGCCACACUGGAACUGAGACACGGUCCAGCCUCCUACGGGAGGCAGCAGUAGGGAAUCUUCCGCAAUGGGCGAAAGCCUGACGGAGCAACGCCGCGUGAGUGAUGAAGGUCUUCGGAUCGUAAAACUCUGUUAUUGGGGAAGAACAUAUGUGUAAGUAACUGUGCACAUCUUGACGGUACCUAAUCAGAAAGCCACGGCUAACUACGUG
rnacentral:rRNA from 1 species